GUAAAUGAAGGUUGGGUUUCGAUUACAAUUAUGUCAAUAAAUCAUGCCCCUUUUGUCAAACUCCACGUGUAAAUUGCCCCUCCCACUUCGUUUCCUUUCAUGGAUUGAAACUCAAUUGUUUCUUCGUCCUAAACCAAAGCGAUCAUGGCCGUUUGAGACUGAAAAGCCCUAUACGGAUUCACCAUGCAAUGCAUGCUUUCAGCUAGGUUGAAGGUGGGUAUAUUUUAAGGAUGCACACCAAACAACUAUGGUUUGCAUGCCCUGCAGAAGGACUCCAUCAUGCAAGUUUUAUUCCGUUGGUUCCCAGUGGAUGUCAGUAUACCGGCCGACCAUAGACUGCUGGUUAUGUACGGGCAUAAUUGGGUGCCAGACUGAUCCCGUGGUCAUGAACGGAUGCUGGGACCUACCAGAAGGAGCAACGGUGGGCUUGUCAGGCAAGACCUCAGAAUAAGUGUUUCACAACAAGUACUCUUGUGACACCUCAUCCAUUGUUGCCAGUCUCCCUCAACUCUGAUGAAAAGGACAUGCCGUCAUGAGGCCUCUGACCGUGAGUUACUGCCCUGAUGACACAGAUGGCUUCAUUGACAGGCACUUCCAGUCAACACCACCUAAUAAGAUCAGGAAGUACAUUGGUUUAUGAGGAUUGGCUGCUGCAGUUGUUUGAGAGAUGUCCAGUUUGCAGCUGAACAUGCAGCAUAGAGAAGACAAGCAUCAUGCAGACAUGCCCUCACAAAACAUGGAUGGGGGCUACACAUGGAGACUUGCAAGAUGAUGGUAUGAAGUCCAG
ensembl:lncRNA